rnacentral:rRNA from 1 species
GACGAACGCUGGCGGCGUGCCUAACACAUGCAAGUCGAGCGAGAAAGUCCCCGCAAGGGGAUGAGUAAAGCGGCGAACGGGUGAGUAACACGUGGGCAACCUGCCCUUCAGACAGGAAUAACCCCGCGAAAGCGGGGCUAAUACCAGAUGAAGUCCCUUGGGGGCAUCUUCGGGGGACCAAAGGGGGCGAGCGCAAGCGGCUCCCGCUGAUGGAUGGGCCUGCGGCUGAUUAGCUAGUUGGUGGGGUAAUGGCCUACCAAGGCAACGAUCAGUAGCCGACCUGAGAGGGUGACCGGCCACACUGGGACUGAGACACGGCCCAGACUCCUACGGGAGGCUG